GACGAACGCUGGCGGCGUGCUUAACACAUGUAAGUCGAACGGAAAGGCCCUGCUUUUGUGGGGUGCUCGAGUGGCGAACGGGUGAGUAACACGUGAGUAACCUGCCCUUGACUUUGGGAUAACUUCAGGAAACUGGGGCUAAUACCGGAUAGGAGCUCCUGCUGCAUGGUGGGGGUUGGAAAGUUUCGGCGGUUGGGGAUGGACGCGCGGCUUAUCAGCUUGUUGGUGGGGUAGUGGCUUACCAAGGCUUUGACGGGUAGCCGGCCUGAGAGGGUGACCGGCCACAUUGGGACUGAGAUACGGCCCAGACUCCUACGGGAGGCAGCAGUGGGGAAUAUUGCACAAUGGGCGGAAGCCUGAUGCAGCAACGCCGCGUGCGGGAUGACGGCCUUCGGGUUGUAAACCGCUUUCGCCUGUGACGAAGCGUGAGUGACGGUAAUGGGUAAAGAAGCACCGGCUAGCUACGUG
rnacentral:rRNA from 1 species